UCUGUCACAAAUUUGUGACGGAUUAGUGAAGGUUUUGUGACAGAUUUUAAAUUCGUGACGGAUUUUUGAUGGAAAUUUCCGUCACAAUAUUUGUGACUGAAACUUCCGUCACAAUUACGUCACAAAUAUAGUGACGGAUAUUUCCAUCAUAAAACCGUCACAAGUUGUGACGGAUUUGUAACGGUUUUUCCAUCACUAAUAUUUGUGACGGAUAAAUCCGUUACAAGUAUUCAAAUUGCUACUGUCUGUAACAAUUCCGUCACAAAGUUGUGAAGGAGUUGUGACGGUUCGUUAUUUCCGUCACAAUUUUAUUAAGAAAUAAUUAUUAUUUUCCUUACAAAGUCCAUUCCUUGGUUCUGUUACAAAUUAUUCCUAAAAGAAUUAGGGUUUGUGCUGCUUCCGUUUCGUCUCUUUUCACUUCAAUGUUAGGGUUACUAGUACAUAUGCAGUUUUCACUAAUUUAAUGUUAGGGUUUUUGGCCCAAGAAUAAGUCUCCUCUUUACAUAGCACUUCUCCGCCACUGCCGUUUAAUCUUCUCCGCCACUGCCGUUUAAUCUUCUCCGCCACUGCCGUUUCGUCUUCUCCACCGCUAACUUUGUUCCUCCGCCACUACUUUUGCCGCCUUCUUUGUUUGCUUAUCAGAAUUAGGUUUUCUGAUUCAGUAACCUCCAAAUAUCAAUUGAAACUAAUUUUCUGGUAAGUUGAAUCAGUUUGUUGUUUUAAGCCAUUUCACGGUAUCUGUUCAAUUGUUUCAAGCCAUUUCACGGUAUUUUUUCAAUUGUUUCAAUUGAUUUGGAUGAAUUGAAUAUUAUUAUUUCUGAAAUGAUUUGCGCUGUUGACAAAUUAUAUUGUGAAGAAUUUGCUUUGUUGUUUAAAUUAUAUUAUAUAUGUUAUCUGCUGAACUCGAUUUUGCUUUGCUUUUUGCAGUUACUUUAUGUGAUUAAGUAAUGAUUUAGUGCUUUCUUGGCUACUUGUUGUGAUUCUUGAGCCUUCUUAUUGUUUUUAAAUUUAUUUGAGCAGAAAAUGCUAUAUUCUCAUCAAACAAAAAAGUUUAAGUUGACUAGAGAGAAACUAAACGUUUAAAGAAACACUUGUAGAACAUGGAAAAUUAAAAAUACUUUGGGCUUGAAAUGUUUGCAAUUGUUAUCCUAUAGAUAUUUUGAUGUUGAUUUCAGUCUUCGGAUGCUAAUAUCAUGUUUAUCGAUAUCAGGUGUCAAACCCAACCAAAUCACAUUCGCUGGCUCGGUUCGGCUAUUCAGUUUUUAUUAAAUGUGUUUAUUCAGUAAAAUGCUACGGUUUCUUAAUUAAUUGGAUCUAUAUUGAUGAAUGGUGAUAAAUGUGAGAGUGGAUCUUUUAGUUUGUAUUUUACAUAUAUGCAAUGUAUGGCUUAAUGUUAUGAGCUCAAAUUUUGAAGAAGUGUAAAGAAGACCUCCAUAUCAAAAUUCAUUAAUUUUAAAAGGAAGAUGAUCUAUGACGCCAAAGGACUUGCUGAUGCAGUUGUAUGGCAUGAUGGAGAAAAGAUCAUCCGAUAUGCAUGCUUAAGGACGAUUUUGUCCAGGCAGGUGACUUUCUCAAAUUUCACAAACGCAUGAUGUAAUCCUAUAAGAUUGCAAGUAGUUCCAUUGUUUGAAACUAUGAAAGAUAUGUGAGGGGCUCGUUCAGUGAAUUGCAAGUACUUCCAUUGUUUGAAACUAUGAAAGAUAUGUGAGGGGCUCGUUCAGUGAAUUUCAAGUAGUUCCAUUGUUUGAAACUAUGAAAGAUAUAUGAGGGGCUCGUUCAAUGAUUGGAAAAGUGUUAUCAAUUGAUUGGUAUCGGCUAGAAUCAUGAAGGAAAAAUCAUCAAGGUUGGCGGUUGUGGUACAUCGUCAAUGGCUCCUAUGUAUUAGUAGUAUUUUUUUAAUCUUUGUACGAUGUUUUCCUGUAUUAGUAGUUUAUUAUUUGUGUAUAUUUUAAUCAGUACUUACAAUGUGUUUAUGUAUUUAGAAAUAAUAGUGUUUAUAAGUAAUAUAUUUUUCAAAUUAAUGGGUAA